rnacentral:lncRNA from 1 species
GUUCUCCGAGUUCCUGUCUCUCUGCCAACGCCGCCCGGAUGGCUUCCCAAAACCGCGACCCAGCCGCCACUAGCGUCGCCGCCGCCCGUAAAGGAGCUGAGCCGAGCGGGGGCGCCGCCCGGGGUCCGGUGGGCAAAAGGCUACAGCAGGAGCUGAUGACCCUCAUGAACCCAACAUUGAUAGUCCCUUGAACACACAUGCUGCCGAGCUCUGGAAAAACCCCACAGCUUUUAAGAAGUACCUGCAAGAAACCUACUCAAAGCAGGUCACCAGCCAGGAGCCCUGACCCAGGCUGCCCAGCCUGUCCUUGUGUCGUCUUUUUAAUUUUUCCUUAGAUGGUCUGUCCUUUUUGUGAUUUCUGUAUAGGACUCUUUAUCUUGAGCUGUGGUAUUUUUGUUUUGUUUUUGUCUUUUAAAUUAAGCCUCGGUUGAGCCCUUGUAUAUUAAAUAAAUGCAUUUUUGUCCUUUUUUAGACAA